rnacentral:rRNA from 1 species
UACAGAGGGUGCGAGCGUUGUUCGGAAUUAUUGGGCGUAAAGCGCAUGUAGGCGGCUUGUUAAGUCACGUGUGAAAGCCCCGGGCUUAACCCGGGAAUGGCAGUGGAAACUGGCGGGCUUGAGUGUGGCAGAGGGGGGUGGAAUUCCGCGUGUAGCAGUGAAAUGCGUAGAGAUGCGGAGGAACACCGAUGGCGAAGGCAGCCCCCUGGGCUAACACUGACGCUGAGGCACGAAAGCGUGGGGAGCAAACAGG